UCAGGGCACCUGGGAGACGUAUGAAAACACAGACUCUCCAGCUCUAGCCCAAAACAACUGAAGCAGAAUCUCUGGAGUUCGGCCCUAGAACCAGAAGACUUUAAGAGCUCUGCAGGUGAUGGAGAUCCUUAUCUGGGCUUAGGAUAAUUGCUUCCAGGAUCACUGCUUGCAUUCAGCUGUUUCCCAGCACCCCGGGACCCUGAGGUCUAUGGGUGGUUGCAGAGUGAUUGUUUAUGGUGGCCUGAACCAGGGCCUAGAGGCAGUGCACAUCCUGAGAUCCUGUGAGGAGCUUAUUUACAGUGUUCUGUCAAUCUUCUGUUGGUGGGAGUCUAAAUUGGUACAACCACUA